UGGAACGGCCCCAUACAUUUUGCUCGAUAUCCCUCUCUUCCCAUCCAGAUAUAGAAUUGGAUAGGUUUAUGCCAAUCUUUUCAUACGUCAGUUAGCAAGGAAUGGAGGGAGUAUAUUGGAACCGAACCUAAAUGAUGUCACCAGAAAACCCUGCUGCUCCCUUUAUGAGUGGAAGGUUUCAUGGAAUUGAAAUCAUCUAGACUUAUUUAUCUUUAUAUAGAUGCAGCUUUGUAUAUUGUCUGCCUCGUUCAAAUGCCUAUUCAAAGAACUUUUGUGAUCAUCUGUUCUACUCUUAUUACUCCGAACAAGUAGAUAAAUUGAUUUAUGUUCUUGAUGGUGGACGGUGAUUUCCGACUGGGUUUGGUGCAGAUGGCCUUUUACCAAUCUUCUUAUUAUCUUUUACCUACGUAGAGAGAGCAUUUAUAAAUUAGAUCUAUCUGGAUUAAUUAAGAAGAAAAGGUAAAGUGAACUAAAGAAGAGGUAACUUGUAUACUUACCCAAGUAGUUGAAAUGUAGCCAGUGGUGAGCCUUGAGUUUUGAUGCCUGAGCUCGGAAUCAACUAGUGAAACAAUUGAGAAAGUAAGUUUGAUCAAAGAAAAAUAUGAUAUGUAUAUUAUCAGUGAGUAGUAGUAGCUUGCCUGAUUGCAUGGCAUGGACCUUGCAUAGGAUGGCACAAUGGUGGUGUAAUAUAGCCAGCAGAAUACCUAGUAUGAGGAGAUGGGAUAGACCUUGUAAUCUACUCAUCGCAAUGAAGUUAGAACAAGUAUAGAAGUCUGGAGAAUAAUUUCAAAAAAGCUGAAAUAUAGCCACCAGCCAGCAUAACCAAACUUGGAAUGUUUGUCAAAAGUGCCUCGGAUCCUUGGCUCUACUGGUGAAUUUAUUUAGGAAAUUUGGAUUUCACUUCAUUGUGAGUUUACUUCUUUUGCGUUAUCAUUGCAUCCAUGAUCCAUGUCCAUGAUAAUAAUUUGCAUUGUUUUCUCGUGAGUGCUUCAACUGUGGGGAACCGUUAUGCCUAAUAUACGCAUGAGUUUUUUGGCAUUAUAGAAUGUCAGAAUUUUUUGUCAGGC
rnacentral:lncRNA from 1 species